rnacentral:ncRNA from 2 species
UUAACUCUUCAGGGUAUGGUGAGGAGAUUUAGAUUAAAUCUCUAAUUCCACAGACCGAUGGUUAUAGUCCACGAGCCAAUGCUUAAAUGCUGGAGGCUGAGCUGAUGAAAUUUCAACACCGACGGUAGAGUCCGGAAGAAAGAAGAGGAAU